rnacentral:lncRNA from 1 species
GCGGCUUUAUGACUCAAAUCCCCUUUGCUUGAUUGAGAACCGGAACUGACAUAGAAUAGUAUAUCAUUGCUGGAAGGAACCGGUGUCCUUAAUAUGCCUUGCUAGGCACCUUCCUUCUUAUACCGGGAACAUAAUCCGAUUUCAUUUCGGCUAUUGGAGCGUUCUAAGUUCCCCUUUUCCAUGGCUUUGAGGAUCUGCAUAUCCAUAUUUAGGACUUUUCCGCAUUUCAUCUCAAAGAGGAUCUAAUACUGAGUAUUAAAAGUGAAAAUAAUUUACAUUCGAGACUUUCAGGUAAAGAAAUAGUAUUACUUUCAAAUUAG